UACAGAGGUCUCAAGCGUUGUUCGGAUUCAUUGGGCGUAAAGGGUGCGUAGGUGGCAUGGUAAGUCGGAUGUGAAAUCCCGGGGCUCAACCCCGGAACUGCAUCGAUACUGCUGCGCUAGAGUACUGGAGAGGAGAUUGGAAUUUACGGUGUAGCAGUGAAAUGCGUAGAUAUCGUAAGGAAGACCAGUGGCGAAGGCGGAUCUCUGGACAGUUACUGACACUGAGGCACGAAGGCCAGGGGAGCAAACGGG
rnacentral:rRNA from 1 species